rnacentral:rRNA from 1 species
UACGGGGGGGGGUAAGCGUUGUUCGGAAUUACUGGGCGUAAAGGGCUCGUAGGCGGCCAACUAAGUCAGACGUGAAAUCCCUCAGCUUAACUGGGGAACUGCGUCUGAUACUGGAUGGCUUGGAUUCGGGAGAGGAAUGCGGAAUUCCAGGUGUAGCGGUGAAAUGCGUAGAUAUCUGGAGGAACACCGGUGGCGAAGGCGGCAUUCUGGACCGACAUUGACGCUGAGGAGCGAAAGCCAGGGGAGCAAAGCGGG